rfam:Gregarina niphandrodes unplaced genomic scaffold scaffold00218, whole genome shotgun sequence.
GCACGGAUUCCCGUGUGGUCCAAGGGGGUAGCCUCAAGUUCUACUGUGCAGUGCAUGCGCGGGUUCGAAUCCCGCUUCGAGUA